rnacentral:ncRNA from 1 species
UUCGGAAAAGGCAAAUCCCGUGGAAACGGGAGACGCAAAGCCACGGAUCCUGGAAAUAUGUCAGGAUGGCCGGGUUGCAGAAG